UAGAUAUAUAAAUUAUUUUUCCCUAGUCGGAGAUGUGUCUGAACAUGAUCAACAUUUAUUUCAUCAAACAACUUCCUAUUCUGACAUUCCUUACCGUGCUACCUGAAAGAUUCUCUGGAAAUAAAUACAAUAUUCUAUUAUUAAUUCCUGUAAAGUACUCUGUUGUGUAAUGUGUUAAAACUAAUGUAAAAUCCAUCUCUUGGGGGGGCGGAGCUAGCACCGGAGCAGGAUAGCCGCACAGCACUGCUGCUCCGUGCACCAAGCCGAAAAACGUUGCCCAGAGACGAUAAAUACCGGCUCACUGGCUUAUCAAAGAUGGAGCACGGACUCCCUGUAUCAUGGGGAAGAAAACCAAAAAACAGCGGGCAGAUCCGAGCACAGGAUCUGGAGAUAUCGGGGCUUUUCUUCGCACAGCCACUUGGCCGGCAAAUCCCAAGAUGGCGCCGGAGGCUUACACCUACCAAUCCUCGGACGAGGAUAGUCACUACACUGAACCCUCCAUACUGAGCCGAGGAGCCAGACACCUCAGGGACCCCAGGAUCAGGGAGACUCAGCACCCACCACCAAAGCGGAUAUCAAAGCCCUGGUGAAAGAAAUCAAGACCAUGUUUCAGGCGGAUAUGGCACUGGUGAGGGAGGAUAUUGCUACGCUAACCAACAGGGUGGCAGCAGUGGAGGAAGACGCGAAAGGUACAACGCUGGCGCAAAAUGCCACAGAUGCCGCACUGAACGCCCUGUGCAAGAAGUGUGCCGACCAGCAAGCACAACUGGCGGACUUGGAAGACAGGCGCAAGGCACGGAACCUGAGGGUCCGGGGAGUACCGGAGACAAUCUCUGGCACCGAACUGCCACAUUUCUGCCGACGGCUCAUAGCCACGCUGCUGACACCACGGCAAGCGAAGCAGGUAAUGAUUGAUUCCUGCUUCAGGCUCUCCAGGGUGACCUCUACGCCACAAGAAGGAGCUAGCGACAUCCUGAUAAAAUUUGUGAGAGACUCUGACCGAGGAAUACUUAUGGGGGCUACAAGAGACUCUCCCACAGUGCCGUUUGAAGGGGCACAACUAGCAUUUUACAGAGACUAUUCAAGACACACUAUACAGUGGAGGAAAUCUUUUCGUCAGGUUACACAACUACUACGGGAUCAAGCCAUCCCCUACAAUUGGGGCCCACGCAGAUUACAGACGGACAAGGCUGGCGUGACACACAAUCUAUCACGCACUUCUGAAAUACCGGCAUUCCUCAGAUCACUGGGCAUAUCGGCGCAGGCAGCACAAGAAACAGCUCGACCACUUUGGACUGUGGUAGAUAUCACCCCCUUCGUGCCCAGAGGAGAGGGCCCGCAAGUUGCUGCUCUGCCUACCUGAUACAGUUGCAGCCACACAAGUUCCAUGUAUUUCUACCUGUUGUAGACAGCAGAAGCACCAACAGUUCCCUGGACUGUUAAUCCCCCUUACUAGAUAACCUCCCACUGGCUCCGUAAGCUAUGGCUCAGGUUAUAUGACCAAGUUAAUUCCCGCCCCCCCCUUAUUUUGAGUGCACAAAGCAGAGUUAAUAUUGCCCGUAUCCCUCACACUCGAUAAGCGUGUACAGCCUUUUUACGCAAUUAUAGCACUAAGCCCUAUGUCCGGGUCUGUCAGGACCCAUGCCAGAUACCCACACAUUUAGACGUGCCUUAGGUCCAAGCCACAUAUACAAUGCCAUUACUAAGCCUAUGGGCACCCACAGCACUAACCGAGCACCACCAGCAGAUCACCCUCCCAGAUGUUAUUGUCACACGUAAAUUCACACUAACAAGCCUAAGGGCACCCACCGCCAUAAGAAAGGAGCCCCCCAGCACAUCACCAAUCCCCCGCGGGAGCACAGGCGAGAGAGGGCUGUAAAAGCUAUUAAAACUAUAAAAAAUGGAUAGUAC